rnacentral:rRNA from 1 species
UACGUAGGGUGCAAGCGUUGUCCGGAAUUAUUGGGCGUAAAGAGCUCGUAGGCGGUUUGUCGCGUCUGCUGUGAAAACUCGGGGCUUAACUCCGGGCCUGCAGUGGGUACGGGCAGACUAGAGUGCGGUAGGGGAGACUGGAAUUCCUGGUGUAGCGGUGAAAUGCGCAGAUAUCAGGAAGAACACCGAUGGCGAAGGCAGUUCUCUGGGCCGUAACUGACGCUGAGGAGCGAAAGCGUGGGGAGCGAACAGG